rnacentral:misc_RNA from 1 species
AACUUUCAGCAAUGGAUCACUUGGUUCUCGCAUCGAUGAAGAACGCAGCGAAACGCGAUAGGUAAUGUCAAUUGCAGAAUCUAGUGAAUCAUCGAAUCUUUGAACGCACAUUGCGCCUUCUGGUAUUCCGGGAGGCACGUCUGUUUGAGCGUCAGCAACACCUCAAAGCUUGCCUUUGGUUAUGGGAUGGGUCAGCCCCCUCUUAGUGGGGGGCGCACCCUCCUUAACGUUGCCCGACGAUAGCGAACCAGCAGCCUGGCAGUAGACGUAGUAAAUCUUUCUCGUUUGCCUGCUCGGGAGGCCGGUCGCCAACGAAAAACCCCAAACCUUUUUGACCUCAAAUCAGACGAGGAUACCCGCUGAACUUAAGCAUAUCAAUAAGCGGAGGCU